GUGCUCACUCCAGCAGCACAUCCACUAAAAUUUGAACAAUACAGAUAUUAGCAUGACCCCUGUGCAAGGAUGACACACAGAUUCCUGAAGCUCAAUUAGGGAAG
rnacentral:snRNA from 1 species